rnacentral:rRNA from 1 species
UACCAGCACCCCGAGUGGUCGGGACGUUUAUCGGGCCUAAAGCAUCCGUAGCCGGUUCUACAAGUCCUCCGUUAAAUCCACCUGCUUAACAGAUGGGCUGCGGAAGAUACUAUAGAGCUAGGAGGCGGGAGAGGCAAGCGGUACUCGAUGGGUAGGGGUAAAAUCCGUUGAUCCAUUGAAGACCACCAGUGGCGAAGGCGGCUUGCCAGAACGCGCUCGACGGUGAGGGAUGAAAGCUGGGGGAGCAAACCGG